rfam:Caldisphaera lagunensis DSM 15908, complete genome.
GCCGGGGUGCCCGAGCGGUCUAAGGGGACAGGCUGGAGACCUGUUGUCCCGAAAGGGACACGCGGGUUCAAAUCCCGCCCCCGGCG